rfam:Gossypium hirsutum cultivar TM-1 chromosome 23, whole genome shotgun sequence
AAUCUAUGGUGCGGACAUUUUUUAAUCAACAUUUUGAAUUGUUCCCAUGUCUCAUAGAAACUUUCUCCCUCCAUCAGUCUAAAAACAACAAUCUUUCUUCUUAGUUG